CAGAUAAGGAAGCUUGCUCCUUUUGACGUUAGCGGCGGACGGGUGAGUAACACGUGGGUAACCUACCUAUAAGACUGGGAUAACUUCGGGAAACCGGAGCUAAUACCGGAUAACAUUUGGAACCGCAUGGUUCUAAAGUGAAAGAUGGUUUUGCUAUCACUUAUAGAUGGACCCGCGCCGUAUUAGCUAGUUGGUAAGGUAACGGCUUACCAAGGCAACGAUACGUAGCCGACCUGAGAGGGUGAUCGGCCACACUGGAACUGAGACACGGUCCAGACUCCUACGGGAGGCAGCAGUAGGGAAUCUUCCGCAAUGGGCGAAAGCCUGACGGAGCAACGCCGCGUGAGUGAUGAAGGGUUUCGGCUCGUAAAACUCUGUUAUUAGGGAAGAACAAAUGUGUAAGUAACUGUGCACGUCUUGACGGUACCUAAUCAGAAAGCCACGGCUAACUACGUGCCAGCAGCCGCGGUAAUACGUAGGUGGCAAGCGUUAUCCGGAAUUAUUGGGCGUAAAGCGCGCGUAGGCGGUUUCUUAAGUCUGAUGUGAAAGCCCACGGCUCAACCGUGGAGGGUCAUUGGAAACUGGGAAACUUGAGUGCAGAAGAGGAAAGUGGAAUUCCAUGUGUAGCGGUGAAAUGCGCAGAGAUAUGGAGGAACACCAGUGGCGAAGGCGACUUUCUGGUCUGUAACUGACGCUGAUGUGCGAAAGCGUGGGGAUCAAACAGGAUUAGAUACCCUG
rnacentral:rRNA from 1 species